UACGUAGGGGGCAAGCGUUGUCCGGAGUUACUGGGCGUAAAGCGCACGCAGGCGGUCGAUUAAGUUUGGAGUGACAGUUGGUGGCUUAACUGCCAAAGUGCUUUGAAAACUGAUCGACUUGAGGGCUUCAGAGGGACACGGAAUUCCGGGUGGAGUGGUGAAAUGCGCAGAUAUCAGGAGGAACACCGGUGGCGAAGGCGGUUCUCUGGGCAUGUCCUGACGCUGAGGAGCGAAAGUGUGGGGAGCGAACAGG
rnacentral:rRNA from 1 species